rnacentral:rRNA from 1 species
AUUGAACGCUGGCGGCAGGCCUAACACAUGCAAGUCGAGCGGCAGCGGGAAAGUAGCUUGCUACUUUUGCCGGCGAGCGGCGGACGGGUGAGUAAUGCCUAGGGAUCUGCCCAGUCGAGGGGGAUAACAGUUGGAAACGACUGCUAAUACCGCAUACGCCCUACGGGGGAAAGGAGGGGACCUUCGGGCCUUCCGCGAUUGGAUGAACCUAGGUGGGAUUAGCUAGUUGGUGAGGUAAUGGCUCACCAAGGCGACGAUCCCUAGCUGUUCUGAGAGGAUGAUCAGCCACACUGGGACUGAGACACGGCCCAGACUCCUACGGGAGGCAGCAGUGGGGAAUAUUGCACAAUGGGGAAACCCUGAUGCAGCCAUGCCGCGUGUGUGAAGAAGGCCUUCGGGUUGUAAA